GUCCGCGUGAGUUUCAAGAUGGCGGCCGCAAACCCGGAAGUUGGUCAAGGCCGAAGUUGUCGCCGCCGAGCUCGAAGCCGGCAGCCUUAAGUCCGCCGCCGCCGCCGCUGCCUCGCGGCCUUUGGUUCUCCCUCCCCCGGCUGAGGGUCCCUGUUGGUGUGUUGGGGGAGAGCGCGAAGACCAGGAUAUGCUGCAGAAGGAAGAGCUGAGAUAAGGGAUCUCUUUGGACCUCCAGUGACCAACUGGCUUCCGAUUCCUCCAUGAAGCAGCACAAAGCCUGAUGCCCACUUUGCCCCUCACCAUGGACAGGGGGAGGAGUUACCACCCGCCAUGUACGCACCAGCAGCCCGGCAAUACACUGUAUAGGACACCCACCCUUCAAACCCCACUUGGCUUGCCCACCAGUGAGAAUUCUCCUUCCGGUUGCUGGAGUUCAUCCCUGUUUGCACCUUCAUAUUCAGCACCGUUUUUCCUGAAUGAAAACCAGCAAUAUUUUAAUAAUCCUCCGGAUUUCUACACAAAUUCCACCAACGGGCAGCUGUUCUCAGAUCCCAACUUCACACCUCAAGGCCUUGCUGAUUUCUUACCCAGAAAUGGCGACUUCC